UCCAGCCAGCGCCCUGACCCCCAGGACUCCCAACAGGCACCCAAGCGAUUCACAAGUCCUUUCUCGUUCUGAGACUGUCACCGAUUUCUCCUCUUUCCCAGACACCUGCCUCCUUAAAACACUGGCACGGUGAUCCCCAUCAGAUACGGUUUUCCUGCUCUGCCAAGACAAGCAGGUUUUGGCUUCCUUCUCUAUCCUCCAGGAUGGUAGGAACAACAAAUGUUACUUAUCUGUGUCCUCUGCCAUGAAGAUGUGGAGCCUGGAUGGACAGUCCCUUGGAGCAAUGCCGAAGGGUCUGAAGAUGACAGGUGAAUUAAACAGAAUUAUAAAGAAAUUAAAUCCAACACCAAAUGCUCGUCACAGUUUCUCAGCUGCCCCAGAUUCGCAGAGCUCAGUCCUAGCAAGAUCCCACGGGCAAGAGACACCACCGGCCCCUUGAGAUCCUGCUGGGCUCUGGAGCCAGAGGUCCUGCUCUUCUCUCACAGCAGGACCCAGGCCACAGUGGCGGCUCAGUUACAUUCGGCUAAGUGAAGAGAAGGGGCUGGAACAGGGGCCUCACCAGCUGCAUCUUGUCAGUCCCCUGAGCUCAUUAGAUUCUCACUCUUCCUUCCAGAAGUUCUGCACAAAGGAUGUCCUUAGACACUUGACUGAAAUCGGUGGAAAGCCCCUGACCUUUUCCUAGCAAGAGCAUUAUUAAUGUUCGCUGAUUCUAGAAUGACAGCUCGUUGUUUUUUACUUCCUUUCCUGAAAAUCUAUUAACGUAGGAGCGUCUGGGGAAUUUCAAAGUUGGUAAUGACCUUGACGGCUUCUCCAGCUGCUCUGCCCGGGGAGCCCUCAGGCAUUCAAUGGUGUUUCAUGGGCUCACGUGAGCCCUCCAAGAAGAUCCACGAUUUCUAGGCCAAUUCCCAUCUAAACACUCUGACACCUUCUGAGCAGACAUGGUUGCCAUUCCCUGGUAUUUACCCCUCAUUCUGCUCCCUCUGUUGUGCAUCCCUGUGAUUUCUGCCCCCAGCAUUGGCAGAGGUUUAGAAUCAAACACUGAGUUCAUGCCCUCACGAAGGUCAGAGCUGGAGGGGGCCUGGGAGAGACUUGGGUCCAAUCCUCUCACGUGAGAAUUCAUUUCAGUUCUUUUCAUCCAGCGUUACCAAGCCACUACUCUGUGCCAGGCUCAGUGCCAGGCUCUGGGGGCACAGAGCUGGCGUUCCUCAGUCUCCCUGGCAGCCCUUGAAGAAUUUGCUCACAGUCUGAGGGUAGAGACAGACUGUAAACUUACCAAAUUCGUUCAGUAUGAUAAAGCUUCAAUAGAAGGCUGGGGAAAAAGUCCAGGAGUGGGGAACACAGGAGCUCGGACAGAAGGGCUGACUGGACUUGAUGAGGUCAAAGAAGGCAUCACAAGUGGAAG
rnacentral:lncRNA from 1 species